AUCUGAGUGAUGUUUUGGCAAAGGUUUUAGCGGCUGUCCACUAUCCAUUAAUCAUCUUAUUUGCCAUAAAGCACCAUGGAUGAAAGUUAGUAUCACAAAUUCGCUAUUGCACAUUCUGUUUAAAACGUGAUCCAGUUACAUUUCAGCUCAGAGUUCAGGAAUUCCAAAAAUUACCCAAUCUGCCCAAAUUGACGCAACAUAAUGAAACAAAUCUCCAAGUCUAGUCUUGGCCUAAAACUUUAAAUUCCUUACAAUACAUGAUUUAACAAAUAUGACUGAAAGUGGUUAGUUAUCUUCUGUAAAAACCAAGGUUCAUAUCAAAUCAACCAUACUGUUUUUUGUUUUUUUUUAAAUUGUAAUAUAUGAAC